rnacentral:rRNA from 1 species
AGAGUUUGAUCCUGGCUCAGGAUUAACGCUGGCGGCAUGCCUAAGACAUGCAAGUCGAACGGAACACCCCACUGAAACUUGAAUGAAGUUGGAGAGCUUGCUCGAAGACGGAAUGACGGUGGACGUGGAUUCUGUGUUCAGUGGCGAACGGGUGAGUAACACGUGGGUUACCUGCCUCUAAGUUGGGGACAACAGUUGGAAACGACUGCUAAUACCGAAUGUGAUAGUAAUGUUAAAGGAGCCUUUAAAGCUUCGCUUAGAGAUGGGCCUGCGGCGUAUUAGCUAGUUGGUGGGGUAACGGCCUACCAAGGCGACGAUGCGUAGCCGGACUGAGAGGUUGAUCGGCCACACUGGGACUGAGACACGGCCCAGACUCCUACGGGAGACAGCAGUUAGGAAUAUUCGGCAAUGGGGGAAACCCUGACCGAGCAAUGCCGCGUGUGAGAUGAAGGUCCUCUGGAUUGUAAAUCACUUUUAUUUGGGAAGAAUUGUAAGUAGAGGAAAUGAUACUUACUUGACGGUACCUUUUGAAUAAGCCCCGGCUAACUACGUGCCAGCAGCCGCGGUAAUACGUAGGGGGCGAGCGUUAUCCGGAUUUAUUGGGCGUAAAGCGUGCGUAGACGGUUUAUUAAGUCCAGAAUUAAAGCCCGAGGCUUAACCUCGGUUCGUUCUGGAUACUGGUAGACUAGAGUAUGGUAGAGGCAAAUGGAAUUCCUAGUGUAGCGGUGGAAUGCGUAGAUAUUAGGAGGAACACCAGUGGCGAAGGCGGUUUGCUGGGCCAUUACUGACGUUGAGGUACGAAAGCGUGGGUAGCAAAUAGGAUUAGAUACCCUAGUAGUCCACGCU